rnacentral:lncRNA from 1 species
CGAGACAUAUUCUCCAUGGAGUGAACUCCAGGCCACUCUGGAGGGGAGUCUGUAUGAUGGAAGGAAGAGUGGUGGGCAUGGGGACAGAGGCAGCCUAGCCCCGCCGCUUUCCUCUGGGCAGCCUUGGGAAGUGCUCUGUUCUCUCCACUGUGCUGCAGACGCUCAACCAGGCACUUUACUUAAUUUUGAUAGCAGCCUUUCCUGCCAGCCUCACAUAUCAAAUGAUAUGAUGCCUAUGAAAGAACAAGAGAAGCCAUAUAGCACUAUUCACAUGCACAUGGGAGAUGCUGUUAAUAUUUAUUUAGUUAGUUGAGUUUAGGUUUAUUCUCUUCCUAUGUUGCUAACGCCUUCCUGGCUUAUUGCCAAAACUCUUCUUUUGUUUGCAGAAAAUAAAUAUGACCCUGCUGGCUCUACCUUGCUUAUCCUCAGAUGGAGAUUCCAGAAUAAGUGGUAAAUAGCAGAAGAAAGAAGGAGAAAUAGGGAAUUGGAUAGUCCACAAACUGAUAAUUCACCCACUUAAGUCAGACAGAUCUUGGAAUAUCAAG